GACGAACGCUGGCGGCGUGCCUAAUACAUGCAAGUAGAACGCUGAAGAGAGGAGCUUGCUCUUCUUGGAUGAGUUGCGAACGGGUGAGUAACGCGUAGGUAACCUGCCUUGUAGCGGGGGAUAACUAUUGGAAACGAUAGCUAAUACCGCAUAACAAUGGAUGACCCAUGUCAUUUAUUUGAAAGGGGCAAAUGCUCCACUACAAGAUGGACCUGCGUUGUAUUAGCUAGUAGGUGAGGUAACGGCUCACCUAGGCGACGAUACAUAGCCGACCUGAAAGGGUGAUCGGCCACACUGGGACUGAGACACGGCCCAGACUCCUACGGGAGGCAGCAGUAGGGAAUCUUCGGCAAUGGGGGCAACCCUGACCGAGCAACGCCGCGUGAGUGAAGAAGGUUUUCGGAUCGUAAAGCUCUGUUGUAAGUCAAGAACGAGUGUGAGAGUGGAAAGUUCACACUGUGACGGUAGCUUACCAGAAAGGGACGGCUAACUACGUG
rnacentral:rRNA from 1 species